CAUCUCCUUCAUUCUCCCACCACGACUUCCACAGUUAAGGAGCAAACUUCCAAUCGAAUUCAACCCAAUCCAAGUUGACUCAAACCGUAAUUUCCCAAAUCCUAAAUGACAGAGUUCCCUUCAAUCAAAAUCCAGAGCUUUUUCGUAUUUUGAAUUCUCCGACGAACAUUUCUGGGCGGCGAAGUAUUAUCUGGAGUACAUAUUUCGUUGUUGUGUGUGGUUGAAUUACCAAGUCAAAGCGUUUGAAUCACUCUUAGGCCCUAUUUGGUUCAUUAUUAGUAAAGGAAAGGAAGAGAAAAGAAAGGAAGGGAAAAGAAAGGAAAAGAAAGGAAGGGAAAUAGAUUUUAUUUCCUGUGUUUGGUUUAGGGGAAAGAAAUGAAGGGAAGAGAAGGGAAAGCUAAAUGACAGCUUUUAAUUUUCUCUUUCCUUCCGAAUUCCUCCAAUUUUGGAAGGAAAGGAAAGUGAAAAUUUUGUAAAGGAGCUUUCCUUCCAAUUCCUUUCAUUUCCUCCCACUUCCCAUAUAAUUAUUUGUACCAAAUACAGGAAACCUUAUUUUACCUUUCCUUUCUUUUCUUUUCCUUCCAAUUCCUCCCAACCAAAUAAAGCCUUAGUCAUCUUGAAAUCUGCCAAAGAUUUUCUCAAAUGGGUUCACGAUUCCAGUAAAUUUUAUCAGGGGUUGAAUUGGAUUUGGGUUUUAGCUGGGUAACACACACUAUCCCUAAAGGCCUCCAACUUUUCGAUUUGUAAUGGAUGGAGAAAUGCCUGAUUAUUUGCUUGCGAAGAAUUUGAUCUUAUAAAUAAUUGGUGAAUUAUCAGUGGCAGGUGCAACAUGUAAAUCGAUGGAAUUUGUUGGAUGCACUGUUGAAAGUUUGAGUAUCGAAGAUAGAAUGAUCCUUCGCAAUAUUGGUUGUUGAAGAUGGAGGAAAGAAUGGCAUUGUUCCUGUUUAUAGUACCACACAAAAAUAUCUUGAGGACAAGACUUAUAUUCCCUAUGAACCUAUUUACAGUGAUGAUCAAGCGAGGAUAAUCUUUCUCGUGGGAACCGGCUUCUGUUAAGAUUUAGAUGUUUCUAGAACCAGGAAGACUUUAGUUUGUAUAUGUUGAUCUGGGAGAUGCUAAUGUUGUAUCCUUAUCGUGACAGGCUAUUGUUUAUGUGCUAUUAUUCUUUCCUUUGGGUCUUUUCUAUCAGAAUUAGAGAUAAAUAUAAGUUGGAUUUAACAAUAUUAUCUAGAAUUUUGAAGAUGUAUUGUAUUUUUCUUUGUUCAAUUAUGCUUAGACAUUAUGUGUUGUUACUAGUUAUCUUAACUUUCUCAUUUUGUCGUACUUUCAUUAUUGCAAUGUUCCGAGUUAUGAUCAAGAAAAAAAUGAUGAAGUUAGAGCUCAAUGGACGCGUCAUGUUCUUCUCGUGGGAGAUUUUCAAUGGCUUUCUUUAAUGUUGGAGUUUGAUGUUGGUCCUCUUUCUUGAAGUAGUGAUCAGUUGGAAAAGCAAAUAUUUGUUUGUUGUUGCUUAUGAUUCAAGCUCCAAUGUUUGCAUUGAAGACAUGUACAUAUGAAAUGGUGAGUGGAUGGAAUAGCCAUAAAGAGUGGAAGGAAUGAUUACGGAAUUGUCUUUGGUCGCCCUAGCUCUAACAUCACCAUACGAAGGAUAACUGGAUCAUCAAAAUUUAUUGGCAUUGCUAUUGGUUAUGGGAUGUGUGGCGGUGUAGAGAAUGUGUUGGUAGCCCUAGUUCUAACAUAUUAACCUUUUCAAAUGACAACAUUCUAAUUUUAGUGUGUGGAUUUGAAAUUAAAAGAAGUACUAUAUGAUAGGGAUACAUCUUUUCUGUUUCUAGUGUGUAUUUUUGUAGUGUAUUCAAUUUAGGCAUAUAUGAUCUUAAGUUUUAUUAGACAUCGAGACGUUUAUUUGAUCUAUGAUAGAAAUGAAAUUGGAUAUAUAUA